rnacentral:lncRNA from 1 species
CACGGUCUUAGUUGGGGCUUUUUCGGAGGUGGCUGAAUCUGGAGUGUGUGAUGCUGGGACUAAAGAUGUGUUAUUACUAAAUCAGUCCACGGAUUGGUUUGGGACUGCCCUAAUCCUGGUAGUCUAGAUAAGAUAAAAGGGGCAGAAAGAUACUGUUAAGGUUUCCUUGUUGCUUUUUGCUACCUCCUGUCAGCCGCCAUGAACUGUUAUCCCUCUGCCAUGUGCCACCCUGCCUUGGAGCCAGCCAAUUAAGGACUGAAAUCUCUACAAACGUGAUAGCAGAGACACACGCUGAAUUGGAUACUACUACAAAACUGUAGACCCCAGAAGAUAACCACAGGUUUGAAAUAAUAGAGAAAUCUCUUUUUCUUCUUCUUUU